GACGAACGCUGGCGGCGUGCUUAACACAUGCAAGUCGAGCGAUGAAGCUCCUUCGGGAGGGAUUAGCGGCGGACGGGUGAGUAACACGUGGGUAACCUGCCUCAUAGAGGGGAAUAGCCUUUCGAAAGGAAGAUUAAUACCGCAUAAGAUUGUAGCUUGGCAUGAAGCAGCAAUUAAAGGAGUAAUCCGCUAUGAGAUGGACCCGCGUCGCAUUAGCUAGUUGGCGAGGUAACGGCUCACCAAGGCGACGAUGCGUAGCCGACCUGAGAGGGUGAUCGGCCACAUUGGGACUGAGACACGGCCCAGACUCCUACGGGAGGCAGCAGUGGGGAAUAUUGCACAAUGGGGGAAACCCUGAUGCAGCAACGCCGCGUGAGUGAUGACGGUCUUCGGAUUGUAAAGCUCUGCCUUCAGGGACGAUAAUGACGGUACCUGAGGAGGAAGCCACGGCUAACUACGUGCCAGCCGCCGCCGUAA
rnacentral:rRNA from 1 species